CACAGAUGAUGAACUUAUUGACAGGUGGACAGACACUAUGUGCUGCUUGUCAUGUUCCAAUUG
rnacentral:snoRNA from 1 species